UCUUCUCAAAUGCCGAAAUAUGUCGUUGUACUUCAUAAGUCAUUAUUUAAGUUCAGAAUUCUUUUUUUUGAAAUGUUAUUCUACUUGUAGAACGACAUAUAGUGUAUCUACUUGUGUUUUAGAGCACGUUGAAAAAUUUGUCCAAAUUAAAAAAUUGACUAACAUGUUCAGAUAAAAUAAGAUUAUCUGCAAUUGAGAUGUGAAAUUAUUAACAAUUAAACUAAAUUUUCUGCAAAUGUAAACCCGAAAAACAUAUCAAAAAAUGAGAUCUCAAUGAUCAAAUCAUGCAAAAUUGAAAAAAAAAAAAAAAACUAAUUAAAAUUGCAACAUAUUAAACUAAUUAAGAUUAUAAACUCAAAGUCUCCUUAUUUUGCUCAUUUAAUGAUCGAAAUAUGGUUACUCACUAUUUUGAACUUAAUAUUAAUCGGCUGGCAAAAGAUUAAAACACUAGAAACACGUUCAUGUAUUCUUCACUAUAAAUAUUGAUUUCAAGAGAGACACCAAAAUAAUAUUUUUCUAUAAAUAUUUUUAUAGAAACUAUACGUUAAAAAGUGGACCGAAGUGAGCUGUGCGUUAAUAAAUGACAGCUGGGCCGGUUCGCGGUUUCGCGUUGCGGUUCCCCGUGCGUUAAUAAAUGACAGCUGAACUGCAUUUUUUAUCAUUACCAUUUAGUGUGAUGUAUUUGAAUUUUGAUAUUUAUGUUUAUUUAUUACAUGAAUUUUGAAAUUCAAACUUAUCUAAAAAUGAUAAAUAGAAUAGUAAGUAUACAACAUGUUAAAUGAUGGUAAGGAAAAAUACUCCCUUUUAAUUUUGAUUAACUUAAUGCUUUUUGCGUGCGUGACCUGGCGGACACUACUACACCACUUUCAUAGCUGGGAUUUCGCUUGAGGAUAAGGUUAAAAUGGGACCAUGACCCACGCUUUUACCAAAUUACCGUUACCCUUUUCACUUUUAACGGGAUUAGGUAUUAUUUUUAAGAAAAACUAAAAAACAAAAAAAAAUUGAAAAUUUUGAGUUUUAAUAAAAAAAAUGAAAAAAUGUUGUAGGCAAAUAGUAUUAAGAAUGACUUUUUAAAGUAAAAAUAUUUUUUCUUGUUAAAAAUGAACAGUAUCAGAAAUAUUCUGUUAAAACUUCCUUAUUUUUAAGUCUAAUCAAAUAAAUGAUCAUCGUGAUGCUAAAGUAAUUGGAACAUAAGCCUUGUGAUAUGGUGUUACUAUGUUAAUAAAUUUAGUUCAAAAGUAAUUUACCAUUAAAUGUCCAUUGAACACAGGAUAAAAAUGUAAUUUGACCCGUACACCUUCCUCUUCCCUCUCUGUAAUUUCACUUUCUUCCAUUUCGAGAUGCUGUAUUUUGCAUCUUGCACAUGAGCAAGCACAUGGAUCCCUUCAUCGGAGUGGCCAAGCUCCGUCCUCACCAAUCAAAACCCACCUCUCCAUUUCUCAGCAGAAAACUCAAAAUCAAACCCUGAAUCCCAGCUACCUAGUUCAUCAAGAAUCACAAUUUCAAACUCCAAAACGCUGCUAGUGUUCGCAUCCGGCGGCAGCGAGUUGAUCCACGCCAUCCACAACAUAUUUCUGGGUGUGGGAUUGGGGCUGCUAUGCACGGUGAUGGAGUGCGGCGACAUCAUAUAUAGAAGCACUGGUCCCCAAAUCCGAUGACUUGAUGCUCACGGCCCCCGGUGCUGUUUUGAUUCUGAGCGCCCUGUCGUAUUACUGGGCCACCCUCGGCGUGGCUCCAUGGCUCUUUGACUUGUUUGUGGUUGCUUUUAUUGAGAGGCUCUUCAGACCCACUUACAAAAAGUUGUGGGUUUGCAGGAUAUUUUGUUUUGGGGAAGGUGUUGAUAAUGAAAAGUACAGCAUCCCGAAAUGGAAGACUGAAAAUGCAAAUUACAAACGUAGCAGAGAGACGGGGAAGAAGACGGUGUACACAUGUUAAAGUACAUUUUUAUCCUUGCAUUUAACAGACAUUUAACAGAAAAAUAACUUUUAUACUAAAUUUGCUAACGGACUACAGCACGAUGGUUUAAAUCUUUGUUUUUUUUUUUUUUUUUUUUUGGGUAAUAUCAUGGAAGUUAUCUUCCAAUUACUUUAUGACCAUGAUGAUUAUUUAUCCGAUUAGGCUUUAUUUUUA